AUGAGACACACAAGAAAUAAGUUUGCUGGAAUCCAGAUUGAUGUUUUUCAGCAAAUAUGGAAAAUUUUAACCAUUGUGGCUUCAGAUAACCACAAAAACAUUCAGAUAUUUUCAGCACUAGCUGCUUUAUAUGAAAAUAUCAAAACUUCAC